GGGGAUAUGGCGGAAUUGGUAGACGCACUAGCUUCAGGAGCUAGCGGUAGUAAUAUCGUGAGAGUUCGAAUCUCUCUAUCCCCA
rnacentral:tRNA from 1 species